rnacentral:rRNA from 1 species
UACAGAGGUCCCGAGCGUUGUUCGGAAUUACUGGGCGUAAAGGGCGCGUAGGCGGCGUGUCAAGUCAAUUGUGAAAUCUCCGAGCUUAACUCGGAACUGCCAAUUGAUACUGAUGUGCUAGAGUGCAGAAAGGGCAAUCGGAAUUCUUGGUGUAGCGGUGAAAUGCGUAGAUAUCUGGAGGAACACCGGUGGCGAAGGCGGCAUCCUGGACCAACACUGACGCUGAGGAGCGAAAGCCAGGGGAGCAAACGGG